UUCUCGUUUCAAUUGUCAAUGCGUACGGAACUUGAAAAAUUUGGGUAGGCCUAGCUCUUUUAAGUUCUUAAGUAACGGCUGUAGCAGUAGCAGUAUUUCCGGUUUCGUCUUGAGUUGUACCAUUUCUUCCCUUUUUUGUGGAUAACAGCAUGGAGGUACCGGGGGUAGGAAAAGAAGAGUAACGAAGCCUGAUAGCCUUGGUCACAUGGCAACAAUGGAAGGACAGUUUCUCAGCCAUCCAGAAUCUACUCGGUCUAGGUCUGUCAUUAAACCAGUUCCACUACACAGCUAUGUGGACCAGUUUGAGAGGUUGUAUCAGCAGAGCCCAAUGGCCAAG